GGAAUAUUGGACAAUGGGCGCAAGCCUGAUCCAGCCAUGCCGCGUGCAGGAAGACGGCCCUAUGGGUUGUAAACUGCUUUUAUACAGGAAGAAACAUCUCUACGUGUAGAGACUUGACGGUACUGUAGGAAUAAGGAUCGGCUAACUCCGUGCCUGCAGCCGCGGUAAUACGGAGGAUCCAAGCGUUAUCCGGAAUCAUUUGGUCUGAAGGGUCCGUAGGCGGUCAGGUAAGUCAGUGGUGAAAGCCCAUCGCUCAACGGUGGAACGGCCAUUGAUACUGUCUGACUUGAAUUAUUAGGAAGUAACUAGAAUAUGUAGUGUAGCGGUGAAAUGCUUAGAGAUUACAUGGAAUACCAAUUGCGAAGGCAGGUUACUACUAAUGGAUUGACGCUGAUGGACGAAAGCGUGGGUAGCGAA
rnacentral:rRNA from 1 species